rnacentral:lncRNA from 1 species
GCGCUGCCCGUCGGCUCGCCAAUCGCAAUCUUCUGAUGAGAACAGUCCUUUCUCUCAUUGGCUGUAAGUGCUGCCACUCACCGCUGCGAGCGCUGUCCGGCGCGAGCCGGCGCUCGAGUCUUUGCCUAUCGGAGAAAUGAGAGGAAUAUUGAGAAUUGGACCGAGAAAUGUGUACACUGUACAGUUCUACAGCAGCCUGCAGUCAGGGGUUAAAAAGGAUGGCUGCCUGAAAAACCUGAUUAAGAGGCGGUGAAUAGCCAAGAAGAUGACCACUCGGCUUUUACCAGACUUUUCCUUCGCACUGAGCUUAACGCUAAAAGCAGGGCCCUCUGGAGACUUACCAUUUAAUUAAAGCACGUUAGUAAUGGCACCCACAAUGGAGGGCACACACACUGUCCUGCAAUUGUACAAACCCAUCCGAGAGUUGAGCUACAUCAGUCUGUAUUUUCCAGCAGGGUGGCCCCGAGGGUAUCUGUAUAAAGGCGGGACCUCCCUUUGGGACCGGCCCUCUGAUUGUCAUGACCAAAAGGGGGAGGGGCCUACUAGGGUAAAACAGAGGCACCAAGCAGGAAAGAGCAUCAUUGUGGGCCUGAACUCUGGCAGGACAGCAAAGGGUUCUGUUUCAGAGCUCUGCUGGCUGGCAGCUGAACAUAGACAGUCAGCGGCCGAAUUCUUUGCUCUGUGUGCCGACUGUGCAGCCAGGGUCAAGAUGGGAAACCAGGAUGGCAAGCCAGAAGGCCUGCAGCCAGCAGGAGUUCCCCCCCACAGAGAAGUGCUGAGCAGCAGUAAUCUGCAACACUCCCUUACCCUCUCCCCAGACCACAGGAGGGGUGCCUCAAGAGGCCGUAAGCUCAAGAAAUUGGCAGUGAAGAAAACGGACAGUGAUGAGGGUCUUCAGAGUAAAAUCAAGAGGAAAGUGGAGAAAGCUGUCUCUGAAACCUCCCAGGGCUGCUCGGGGAUGACAGCAGAUGUCCAGAGGACUCCAGAAACUUCCACGUCUCCCCAGGGGAGCAGAUCUUGUACUAGUGUGGAGGAAAAGCUCCACGUUUCCAGCCAAAGUUGGGAAAUAAUGGAGAAGGGCCAAAACUUCGAGUCAGACAUGGACCUUUGCAGCGAGCUCUCAGAGUACGACAAUGAGCUCUACCUGGACUGUGCCGGCUCAUACAGCUUUCUGGAGGACGAGCAGGUCCACCUUCUGCAGGAGCAGAUGCUUAUUGGGGGCAACCUGCGUCCGACCAGGGAGAGCAUCACCUUGGCAAACAGCUCGUGCAGUACGUCAUCUCCCUGGCUGUGCAGUAAAACAAAUAGGAGGCGUGCCAGGGUCCAAGUGGUGGCUGACAUGCAGGAGUCAGGGGGCAUUGUCCAGCAGGUGAGCCACUCUUUGCUUGCACCUGUACUGAACCAGACAGAUUCUGGCAAGGCAUGUGACGUACCUCAGGCCUCCUUGGCACCAGCCCAGGGCUGCAGGGCUGCUUUGACUGUUUCCCCAGCCUCAGAUGAAGUGGUGAACAAGCUUCUUCACAGGGUGCAGCAGGCAGAUCAUAUGGAUGAGCGGGAGAAGUGGAGAGGCACACGAGGGCACCCUGAAGCAGGGAUGGGAAACACCCGGGGUCCCUCACUGCAAACACAGUUGCACCCUCCAUGCACAAGCCUUCAGUCAGGAAGGAAAAGCCCUUCUUCACCUUCCCUCUGCGAGGUUUUCAGCACCUGUUAUCCCACUACCAACAGCCUGCAGAGUAUGUCACCCAUCCCCUCUCCACUGUCCUCUAAGCUGCCCAGCCCCCAGCUCAACCAUCGGAUCCUGUUGUUGCCAGAGGAGGAAGGGGACCAUGGUACUGGUCAUGAGAAACAAACAGGAGGGCAUGUCCUGUGUGUGGAGGGCAGGGACCAGCCCAGGGUCACCACAGAGGUCAUUGACAAAAACGGCAACAAGAGGACCAUCACGCGACUUGACCUGAAUCUCACCCGGCAAGGCGGAAGUUCAAAACUGAACUUUUCCACAAGCCCCUCGCUGCCCUUUACUCCAGAGAACAGUUCCCUGAGGCAGGAUGAUAUAUGGCCACUGGAAGGAGAUGAGUCCAUAUCCCAGAGUAUCGAGGUCCUUCCCCGUGUCCCCAGACCAGACCACCUGGACUUCCUCAGAAUUACACCGCCGGAGGAUGACAUCAUCAGUGACACCCCUUACUAUCCUAACCUAGAGUUCACUGUGAGUGCAGUUAUGAACCUGAACAUUACUUGUGGGCUAUAAAACAUUAUUUAACUAGAAACUAGAAAUGUAAUCGGGUCUGAUCCAUGUUCUGCAUGAUUGUUGAACACUGUCUUCUUCUGUUGCUCCAACACCCUCAGUUCUGUGACUUGACAAUGGUAUUAUGUAAAGUGCUGUAGACUGUGACCUCAAAUACCUAGGCUGAUGAACCCUUCUUGAUUAAGUCAAAAACCCACAGCACCAGUGAUUAUUAUUCCUUAUGCAGACUCACGGUGUCACUUUCAGACUCUCUCUGGGCUGCUUGUUCAUAGCCAUGUUAUAAAUUAUCUGUUGUACAACUACCUUACACUUCACAUGAGCUGUUCUUUAAUUCCUUCCAGCACUUUCUUAAAUCCUCUUCAACUUAACAAACCACUUUUACCUGGAAAACUUUUAUCUGCGUAAGGAAGAGCUCAUGAAUGCGUCAGGUGUCGAGCACAAGCAGUGUCUUCUUCUUGCAUUCCGCUGGUGUUUAGCUGUGUUUAUGUCUUAGAAAGUCACAUAUCUGGCAUUAUCUGUCAACAUGUGAUCGCGCAUUUCACUUUUAAGUUUAUAAUAGUUGUGCCAGAGAGCAUGUAGCAGGAGGAAUAGACACAAUGAGGGCUUAAUAUGUAGUUUGCUGUCAUUUUGACAGGUCUAGGUUUGUGGGUACACCUACACGUACACACACACACUCUACACUCAAUAACAUUUGCAUGUUUUUGUAACAGUAAUACAGCGAUUCUCUUAUCUGCAUGGGGCGCACAGGUUAAUAGAAUUAACCAAAGCAGUUUGAGAGGUCAAAGCAUUAUUUUCUUAAUCUGUACAGUAUAACUGUUUCUGCCAUCGCGUUUGAUGCUUUGCUUAUAGUUCCACUUGAUAUAAAUUAUACAGACCGGCAAUUCCAAAAAAGUUGGAACAAUAUGGAAAAUGCUAAUGAAAAUAAAGAGAAGUGA